CAGCCGCCGCGGUAAUACCGGCGGCCCGAGUGGCGGCCACUCUUAUUGGGCUUAAAGCGUCCGUAGCCGGGUUGGUUAGUCUCCCGGGAAAUCUGGCCGCUUAACGGUCAGAAUUCCGGGAGAUACUGCCAGCCUAGGGACCGGGAGAGGCCGAGGGUAUUCCCGGAGUAGGGGUGAAAUCCUAUAAUCCCGGGAGGACCACCUGUGGCGAAGGCGCUCGGCUGGAACGGGUCCGACGGUGAGGGACGAAGGCCAGGGGAGCAAACCGGAUUAGAUACCCGGGUAGUCCUGGCUGUAAACGAUGCGGACUUUGUGUCGGACAAGCUAUGAGCUUGUCCGGUGCCGGAGGGAAACCGUUAAGUCCGCCGCCUGGGGAGUACGGCCGCAAGGCUGAAAUUUAAAGGAAUUGGCGGG
rnacentral:rRNA from 1 species